rnacentral:rRNA from 1 species
UACGUAGGGGGCGAGCGUUGUCCGGAUUCAUUGGGCGUAAAGAGCUCGUAGGCGGUUUGGUAAGUCGGGUGUGAAAACCCCAGGCUCAACCUGGGGACGCCACCUGAUACUGCUAUGACUUGAGUCUGGUAGGGGACCGCGGAAUUCCUGGUGUAGCGGUGAAAUGCGCAGAUAUCAGGAGGAACACCGGUGGCGAAGGCGGUGGUCUGGGCCAGUACUGACGCUGAGGAGCGAAAGCGUGGGUAGCAAACAGG